rnacentral:rRNA from 1 species
AACGAACGCUGGCGGCAUGCCUAACACAUGCAAGUCGAACGAGACCUUCGGGUCUAGUGGCGCACGGGUGCGUAACGCGUGGGAACCUGCCCUUAGGUUCGGAAUAACUCCCCGAAAGGGGUGCUAAUACCGGAUAAUGUCUUCGGACCAAAGAUUUAUCGCCUUUGGAUGGGCCCGCGUUGGAUUAGCUAGUUGGUAGGGUAAAGGCCUACCAAGGCGACGAUCCAUAGCUGGUCUGAGAGGAUGAUCAGCCACACUGGGACUGGGACACGGCCCAGACUCCUACGGGAGGCAGCAGUGGGGAAUAUUGGACAAUGGGCGAGAGCCUGAUCCAGCAAUGCCGCGUGAGUGAUGAAGGCCUUAGGGUUGUAAAGCUCUUUUACCCGGGAUGAUAAUGACAGUACCGGGAGAAUAAGCUCCGGCUAACUCCGUG